CCUCAUUUUCUUUCCAGUGGCCGACCCUCCCCUUGUUUUUCUCUCAACUUUCAUUUCCUUUACCUUUAAACCUUUAAAAAUAAACGAAAAAUACCUUAAAUGUUAGAUCUACCUCCCCUCGUCGUCGGUGAGAAGUCUUAAAACCGAGCUGGAGAAAGCGGUGGUAGUGGCAAAGAGUUGGCUGGUUCGAUCUGGACCGUUGGAUGGGUCCAGAUCGAACGGUCUUCGUGGGGCGUCGGCAGCAUCCAAGGGAGAAACGUUGAGGCAGAAGGUUGCCUAGGGUUAGAUGAGUCGGGUCGGACUGGCUGGGUCUCGGGUCGAAUCCGGGUUGAACCUUGGGCUUGGUACUGCUGUUGGGCUCCGGGUUUGGGUAGAUGACCCCUUGUAAUUGGGCUCAAUUUGGGCUGAAGGGGCUUGGAUUUUUAAGAUUAAAUCAAGUUUGAAUAACCCAAAAUUGGAGCGAUUUACAUGAGGGAAUUAAAUCUGUUGAAAGUUUAGGGGAUAAAAGUAAGUGUCGUGCAAGCUCUUGAAGAAGGGUUCAAAUGGGUUUGAUUGGCUUAUUUUGUGGGUUGGGUUAUUGGAUACGUGUCAAUGAAUAGUACGAAUUAGGUGUGCCAAUGAAUUAAUUUGUCACGUGCCACAAUAAACUAUCAGUGAUGAUGAUAAUGACGAUGAUAGUUCUAUUGAAGACCGCCUAUUAUGAAGAAAUUCGAAGCGUAACCGCUGACGACCACAUUGCGGAAUCAGUUCACAUAGAGGUGGUCUGUGAGU